rnacentral:tRNA from 1 species
UGGGAAGUAGCUCAGUGGCACAGCACCUGCCUGGCAAGUAUGAGAUCCUGAGUUCGAUCCGCAGUAUCCCCU